UACGAAGGGGGCUAGCGUUGUUCGGAUUUACUGGGCGUAAAGCGCACGUAGGCGGAUCGUUAAGUCGGGGGUGAAAUCCUGGAGCUCAACUCCAGAACUGCCUUCGAUACUGGCGAUCUUGAGUCCGGAAGAGGUGAGUGGAACUCCUAGUGUAGAGGUGGAAUUCGUAGAUAUUAGGAAGAACACCAGUGGCGAAGGCGGCUCACUGGUCCGGUACUGACGCUGAGGUGCGCAAGCGUGGGGAGCAAACAGG
rnacentral:rRNA from 1 species